CCUCCAUCUAAGACGUGACUUGCUCUUCCUUGCCUUCCGCCAUGAUUGUGAGGCCUCCCCAGGCAAGUGAACUAUAAUCAUGAGUCAUCAUCCUGUAUAAAUGAAUAAUAGUUUAAUUUAAAUAAGCCAAUGUUGUUUGGAGGUCGUUUAUCACUUCACAGCUCUCAUUCACAGUCAAGUCAUGUGGAACUACACAACUUCCUUUUUGUGCAUUGGAGCUGGAAAUCUCGUUGAGUUUGGGAGGCCUUACUUCUGCAUAUUUGAAUCUGGUGACCAAAUUAAACAUUGUUCUAACUGUAGUGGUCUGAUCAUUCUACCAAGGCCAUGACUGUGAAGAGCACUGUGGGUGAUGGCUGGUGGCUCACCGGAGCCGGCUUGUGCACGGCGCCCGAAGCCAAAGAAAUCUGAAGACCCGACCUUACUAUUGGCAAAGACAGACAAACACUCUACAAAUAGUGCUUGAAAAAUGCCACUGUUUGGUUCAGAUGGUGAAGAGGAACUCAGGAAGGCCUGGCAGUCUCUAGGAGGCUAGGGCAGUGGUUCUCAAAUGAUAGGGUGUACAGAAAUUCCCUGGAGGACUUGUGACAACAAAGAUUGCUAGGCCUACUCCCAGGGUUUCUAAUUCAGCAGGUCUGGGGAUGGAGCUCAAGUAUCUGCAUUUCUAACAAGUCCCCGGUGGUGCUGAUGCUGCUUGCAUGGACCAGUUUUGAGAACCAUACUUGGAGAAACACUUGGUUAGGAAAACUAUGUCUGUUACAGAUUGAUCAAAGGGCUCUUAAGUUCCUUUUGUACAAUAAAUCACUGCGAUAUCAAAUGAGGUAAAUGAACAUGCUCUUUGAACUCUUAACUUCUAGACCAAUAUAAAACAUUCUAAAUAUGAAAUGGAAACAUUUACAAUUGUUAUUGAUUCUCAUCAAUGCAAUGUUCAAUAAAGAUAAGAAUCACGUUUUCAGUCUCCACUCUUGAUUUUCUGCUUUGAUAUGGAUUUUUAGUUUUGCUUUCUUCUGAUAUGCUGGG
rnacentral:lncRNA from 1 species